GACGAACGCUGGCGGCGUGCUUAACACAUGCAAGUCGAACGGAAAGGCCCUGCUUUUGUGGGGUGCUCGAGUGGCGAACGGGUGAGUAACACGUGAGUAACCUGCCCUUGACUUUGGGAUAACUUCAGGAAACUGGGGCUAAUACCGGAUAGGAGCUCCUGCUGCAUGGUGGGGGUUGGAAAGUUUCGGCGGUUGGGGAUGGACUCGCGGCUUAUCAGCUUGUUGGUGGGGUAGUGGCUUACCAAGGCUUUGACGGGUAGCCGGCCUGAGAGGGUGACCGGCCGCAGGGGGAGGGAGAGAGGGGCGAGACGGCGAGGGGAGGCAGCAGUGGGGAGGAGGGCAGAAGGGGCGGAAGCCUGAUGCAGCAACGCCGCGUGCGGGAUGACGGCCUUCGGGUUGUAAACCGCUUUCGCCUGUGACGAAGCGUGAGUGACGGUAAUGGGUAAAGAAGCACCGGCUAACUACGUG
rnacentral:rRNA from 1 species